GGCCAGAGAACUCGCGCCGCUUUUGAAUCCCCAUCCUGCGGACCCCGCCCGCCUCGCCUUCUCCCUCUGGUUGGCGAGCUCCUUUCUGCGCCUUCAGGCAUUUUUGCUGAGGCUUUUGUCUGCGCACGUGCGGGGAGCACCUGGUGGAAGAGGGGUCCGAGGACUGUUUGGUGUGGCUUUCUGAUUCCGCUUCUGAGCCUGAGGGAAGAACCACCAUCCUUCAUUCAUUCAUUCAGCAAAUAUUUGAGCACUUACCACGCGUCGGGCACUGAUUUACAGCACAGAGUGAAACUAACUCCCUGCCCUUGCCUUGCUGAGCUUGCAUUCCAUCUUGGAAGGAGGAACAGACAAUAAUUAGCAAAAGUACAAUGACUGAUGAAGUUUCGCUCUUGUUGCCCAGGCUGGAGUGCAGUGGCAUGAUCUCACUGCAACCUCCACCUCCUGGGUUCAAGUAAUUCUCCUGCCUCAGCCUCCCGAGUAGCUGUGAUUACAGGUGCCCACCACCAUGCCCAGGAUCGUGCUGUGCCGGGAGAACCUGGGCCUCGGGGUUUCUGUCUGAGUCCGUCUCUUCGGUAGAAUCUUCAUGCUGAGGAAAUGAACCCACCUGUUUGUGCCCUGCUGCACCUCCCUGUGACAGACUGCCACGUUUACUACCUGAGACCGUCACUAUGACAGUUACUACUGUUACCACUUGAGACCGUCAUUAUGAGACUGAAAGAAGGAGGACAAAGAGGUAUAUACUGCGUUGAUCACGACCUUCACUCUUUCGGCCUGCAACACCUCCCCUCUUCCUGGGUCCGGGCCCCAGACCCCGCCACGCCUCCUCUUAACCUACAUGAUCGGGGCCAGGCAGAGGAAAAGAAGAGCCGUGAUGCCGAUUCCCAGAAACGCUCCGUUGGAGAAUGCCGUUGAGAUGAGUCCCUUCUUAUCUGCACACGGAGAGGGCAAGGAAACCCUGCCACACCCCGGCCCAGGUGUUAGGACUUCCCAUUGUGUUUUCCUGUCUACAUACAGAUGCCACGGGUCUGCUGUGUCCCUCCAAGCUCCUGCUCCAACCACAGGACCCUACUCUUUGCCCCACUCAGCUUCUCCUCCAAGAACCUUGGCAUCCAGGCGGCCCCCUAACCUGGCAGCUGCAGGAUGGAUCCACUCUGGGCCCCAUGGACGUUCCAGGCCUCACAGCUGAGCCUGAGGCCAGAGCUGAGCCCUCCAUGGAGGCUCAGGGAGCUGUUGGCCCAGGGCCCGGCUGAGCUGGGGGUGACCUCGAAGGAGUCCUGGCUGCUGUUCCCCUCCAGCAGCUCCUCCCCAAGCCACCAGCGCAGAGAGGGAGCCGGGCUGGCUUGGGAGGAGCAGCUGCAGCGCAGACCCUCAGCCUCCCAGGAGCAGGAGGGGCCCAGCAGCUUCGGGGGGUCUGAGGGGAGGGAGGACAGGACUCAGCAGGGGCCCCUUCCUGGGACCCAGGUGCCCCCCUUUCCCCCACUCACAGUGCACGGAGAGGCUGAGAGAGACGUGCUGGGAGCCCAGCGGGUGCUGAGCGUGGCAGGUGUAGCGCCCUGAAUCCCCGGCCUUCACCCCGGGCAGCUCCAGCCCCAGGGGUCUGGGGCCCCAGGGAUGGGACAAGGAGAGGACUCUGUCCUGCAGGACCCAGCUCAGCGUGGCAGGGGGCUGGCUGUCAGCAGCACAGAGGAGCCGCAGGAACUGGCCUUUUUGGGCUUCCAGGGAAAAGAAAGUGGGACUAUCCCGGGAAGACAAGUGACAACCAGCGCCAGGGCUCACGUGUGUGGACCAGACGCCAUUCCCAUCCCUCUCCCAGGGCUGAGCCGGCAUCCUGGGACCCCACAGCUUCCUCUCCCUGGAUGCUCCUGAGCUGGGAGCCGCUCACUGUCCCACUGGGCUCCUCCACCUCCUCACCCACCGGGCCUGUCUGCAUGCCCCACCCUCCCAGGCCACACUCACAGGCCACGCGGAGUCGGACGGUCCUCUGUGCACUCACACCCUUUCUGGAGAAGUCCACAUGGCAGCUUCCUCUCUCCACCCGAAAGAAGUACUGUGACUCAUCCUGCAUCUGCGCGUCUCUGAUCACCAAGGAGCAGUUCCCCUUGGCGGGAUCCCCAGUGAGCUGGAAUCGGCCCCGGGUGCUCAUUUCCACCUCUCGACUCUGGUGGUUUGUGGCCACAGGAGCACCCUUGGUUGUCUCAGUCACUGCUUUGAACCAGUAGCCAUAAGCUGGGGUAGACCCUGUCCAGUCCUGUCGGGGGUAGGAGAAAGAGCAGGGCACAGAGAUGCAUAGGCCCUCCGGCACCAUCACCGACUCCUGCACUCGUAUCCAGAAUCUCUCAUCCAUAGCCUGGGACCCUGUGGGGAGACAGAGGCUCAACCUGCAACCCCAGCCCUAGCUCCGCCCCAGGUCCUUUCCGGCCCUUGGCCCACUCACCGCCCAGCAGCGAGGACAGCAGCAGUGGCAGUAGCAUCUCCGCAUAGGAGGCGCAGGACCUGCCUGAGACAGGCCUAUUCUCUGGUCGUGCUGUGAGUGGCUCAGGGCUCUUGGCAGAAGGGGAAGCCGAAGGCGGAAGCUGAGCCCUGGGGCCUGAUGCAUGAAAUGAGCUUCAGAUGCUGAGGUCACAGAACUCCUUUGCCUUCCCCUACACUCUCCAGCCCACCUUGCCCAGUUGUCCUGUGGGUCUCCUGGGGGCCCAGCCUGGCCUUGGGCUUGUUGAGCUGGUCCUUCCAGAGCUCCCUGUGUAGGAGGAGAGGGCAGGCUUGCGUCUAUCCUGGGGGCCUGGCUGGGGGUGGGGUAGUGGGGUGGGGGCUCUCCCUCUGGGCCCUGGGUCAUCGGAAAAGCAGAAGUGAGAAGUCCACAGUGAGCUACCCUUAUCUGGGCCACUGGUGGUGGAGGUGGUGGGUACAGGGGAAGGGACAGUUACUGGAGGGGGCUGGUCUUGUCAGGUAAAAUGUAGGAUGCCUGGUUAAAGCUUUCACAGAAAAUGUAAAGUAUUUUAUUUUAUGUUUUUUAGUAUAAGUAUGUCGAAAAUGCUGCAUGGGAUAUACUUAUACCAGAAAGCAAAAUAAAUUUAUCUGAAAUUCAAA